rfam:Coriobacteriaceae bacterium KH1P3 genome assembly, contig: Ga0059117_103
CGGGUUGUGGCUCAGCUUGGUAGAGCGCUCGGUUCGGGACCGAGAGGUCGCUGGUUCAAAUCCAGUCAACCCGA